AUGCCAUUUCACACCCGUUCCAAUGCUUCAUUCAUUGUUUCUGCAGAUGGUUGUAAUGAUUAAAGAGUCUCUCUAAACAAAACUUUUCAUUUAUUCUGUGACUAUCCUUUUUGCUACCUUCAUCCACCAAAGUCUCAAUCUGGUUUUCUCGGACGCUCCGACGCCAACAGUUGCUCCGCAUACUCUGGAACAUUCCCCAUCAAAUAGCCCACAGCACAACUCCCACCGAACGCCUCUGCUUGAUUGCACAUACUUCAAAAAUCCAGGUGAGCCAAUUAAAGAAAUCUAACUCCAAUCUAUUCAGAAAAUGCGCAACACCAAAAAUUGACCAAACCUCGAUUGAAACAGAACAGCCUCGAAAUAUAUGAUCCAUAGACUCCGCUGCUUAAUUUCAUCGUGGACAAGAUGCAUUAGCCAUCAGUUUCAUCUUAUGCAAAUUAACUAGAUUAGGGGUGUAAUGCCAUGAAAUUAUCCACAUUGUAACCAAUAGCUUAGAAGGUAAGUUGAUGCUUCACGAUUGUUUGCAAAAGUUCCUAUAGUUUCUCUGUAAAGCAUAAGCAUUAGGACUACCUGGAAAGUUUUGUAAUAGUUUGUAGACACUACGCACUGAGAACUCUCCUGAGGGUUCCCCCCGCCAUACCAGCAUUUCAUCGACCUCAGUCAUCGCUAAGGGAAUUCAGAGAAUUCUUUUCGCAUUCACUGCCGGGAAGAUAUUCACUAUUAACUCC